rnacentral:rRNA from 1 species
AUUGAACGCUGGCGGCAGGCCUAACACAUGCAAGUCGAGCGAGCGGCGGACGGGUGAGUAAUGUCUGGGAAACUGCCUGAUGGAGGGGGAUAACUACUGGAAACGGUAGCUAAUACCGCAUACCAUCAGAUGUGCCCAGAUGGGAUUAGCUAGUAGGUGGGGUAAUGGCUAACCUAGGCGACGAUCCCUAGCUGGUCUGAGAGGAUGACCAGCCACACUGGAACUGGGACAAGGUCCAGACUCCUACGGGGGGCAGCAGGGGGGAAAAUUGCCAAAUGGGGGCAAGCCUGAUGCAGCCAUGCCGCGGGUGUGAAGAAGGCCUUCGGGUUGUAAAGCAAUUUCAGGGGGGAGGCGUUACCCGCAGAAGAAGCAACGGGUAACUCCGUGCCAGCAGCCGGGGUAAUAC